rnacentral:rRNA from 1 species
GACGAACGCUGGCGGCGUGCUUAACACAUGCAAGUCGAACGGGGAUUAGUUGAUUGAGAGCUUCGGCAGGAAAUCGAUUAAUUCGAGUGGCGGACGGGUGAGUAACGCGUGAGCAACCUGUCCCAGACAGGGGGAUAACACUUGGAAACAGGUGCUAGUACCGCAUAAGACCACGGGAUCACAUGGUUCUGGGGUAAAAGGAGCAAUCCGGUUUGGGGUGGGCUCGCGUCCGAUUAGCCAGUUGGCGGGGUAACGGCCCACCAAAGCGACGAUCGGUAGCCGACCUGAGAGGGUGAACGGCCACAUUGGAACUGAGAGACGGUCCAA